rnacentral:lncRNA from 1 species
GAGGAAGUUUCGGUGGCUGCAGUUACAAGUUACAGCUUCAGCGGUCGUUUAUUGUUUAAAAGGGAGAAGAGCCCAAAAAGACAACUCUCCUUCCCUCAACAAUGUCGCUGUUUACGUUUGGAACAAUACUGACGGCGGCCAUCCUGACCUCUGUUCCAGCGGUAAACGCCUUCUUCGGAAAGUCGCUGAACGCAGUGACCUACAAGUGAGUUGCUCGGCUGAUUGGCGCCUCGGUUUAGAACUUCCUUGGUGGUCUGAGUCAAUCAGGUUACACAAAGCUAAUCAUUUGACUAUAUUUUUAUGUCAUAAAUCUGCAUAUUUACCAGUAGCAUGUUGCGUAACUGAAAUCUUUCGAAAACCCUGUUGGGAGUUUAAAUUAAAAGCAUCCCCUUCCUCACACUCUGAUAACAUUUCCAAGAGGGCAUAACAACUGAAAUUAUGGAAGAAAGUCAUAUCUUAAUCAUUAAUAAAUGUGAAAUGAAAACAUGGCCUAUUGUACAAUAGUGGCAUAAACACACCGCAUGAAAACCCUUUCGUGCAAGACUUCGAGAUGUGGAUGUCUUUCCAAAUAUCAGAUACACCAAAGAAAUACCCAUAAACAGCAAGUUGGCACUAACCUAACUGGACUCAGCAGACUUCGUCUUCAGAAGAGUUCACCAACAGUGGAGGGGGAAAAGUUUAAGAAAUUAUUUCGUGCAAAAUGUCACGACAACCCAAAUGUAGCCCCACAAAAGAGAUUAUUAGAUAUAAAGUAUUAUAUAUAUAGUAUAUUAUAGUAUUAGUUGUAGCUCGUGGCAAUGGCGUCACCCACGUAAGCUAACCGGGCUGUGUGCCGGCCAUGAGAUGUUGAGCGUUGAGGGCAAGGACAAUUGACUGGUGAGUACUUUUCAAGGCUAACGUCAUGGAAACUACAAGCUUGGGACGAAAUCUACAAACUUGCACUGAAAUGUGUAGGCAAGGUGGUGUUUGAUAUACAAGAGCUCGUUGAGAGUGGGGGGGGGGGGGGCUCAGAUUGUUCUUGUACCUGAGGGCACGCCGUCCUGCCGUUGAGGGCAAGAUGACCCUCCCAUGUCUGACACGAGUGACAUCCCCUCUAGGAACUCUAGUAGUAUAAAUAAUCUCCUUGAUCCCCACAGAGAGUGGAGACCCCGGAAUAUUUGUUAUGUCAGAGCAAACAUAACGUGGCGCGCUCGACGGAGGUUUGUCCUUCAGUUACCUCAUCCGAGCACGAAGGGCUUAUAAUAUAUAAUAUAUAGUGCUGUCGCGCCCGAUUUCUGUCCACUAUUCUGGAGUGUUACAAGUUGUACAUCUACUGUUUAUACGGACAAGGCAAAGUGUGACCCCCAGACGGCUCGCGGCCGAUGGUACCUUGUACGACUGGUUGCUAUAAAUACACACAACGAUCAAACUGAACACGAACCAGAUCACACAAGCGCACAAACAAAAUUGUCCACAUAGCGGAAAACCCACCACCAAGCUGAACUUUGUACUGUAAUCAAUUGUGGCUGAUAAGCAAAGCCGAGUUGUUGUUUUUUUAAACGAGCUCUUUCCUUCAAAAAAGAAAAGAAGAGAAAUGUAAAUUACACUGUGUUUGAAAUAAUGUUAUGGUUGAAUAGAUAAACCUACGUUUUUGCCAAUACGAGAGACGGAAAGAAGGGAAAGGAGAAUGAGGUUGACGAAAAGACACAGAGAUGAUCACUGGCUACACAU